UCUGCGUGUUUUAAUGAGCACGCGCUGAACAUCGAAGUAGCGUUCAUUCAGAUUCAAACACUGGAGCGGAGGGAGUUGCCAUGCAAACGGGGCGAUCGACAACACUGGCCAGCUGCACGCUCCGUGUCUGGCUGCUGUUUUCACUGAUUUCGGUAAGUUUAGUAAAUUAAAAUUGCACAAAUAUCAUAUGCCACUGUUAUUGACAUCUCUCUUGCUUGUAUUUGACCCGCAUCUGUUGAAUUUACUUCAUAGAAAUGGUUUAGUGCUUUCGGACAAGUCCGUUAGAAUCUUAACCGUUAUCAGAGGAGUGCUUGAUGGCCUUCUGCAUCGCAGAGUCUGAGCAAGCAUCCUGUCCAACAACACCUCCAAGGUACACUGAACCACAUGACUAGCAGGUUAACACCAAACAUACACUAAUACUAUCCUUACCAAUUUCUGAAAUAAUAUUACAAUUUAAAAUAGCAGUUUUCUGUAAAAUGUAAUUUAUUUCUGUGAUGUGCAGCUGUAUUUUCAUCAUCAUUACUCCAGUCUUCAGUGUCACAUGAUCUUCAGAAAUCAUUCUAAUAUGAUAAUUUACUGCUCAGAAACAUUUCUGAUUAUCAUCAAUGUUGAAAACAGUUGUGCUGCUCAAUAUAUGAAUGUGUUAGAAUUCUUUGAUAAAUAGAAAUUUCUUCUUGACACUCACUUUUGAUUAAUUUCAUGCGUCCUUGCUGAAUAAAAAUAUGAAUUUCUUUUAAAAAAAUGUAGUGUACAUUACCCUUUAAUGGUUUGUGGUCUAAAUAACAAUGAAGCUUUAAAAUAAAUAAAUGAACUCUAUGCUGUUAUAAACGGUUUACACAAAAAUAUAAAACAGAGCUGUUUUUUUUUAACAUUCAUAUUUAUCAGAAGUGUUUCUUUGGCAAAAAGUAGCAUAUUAUAAUGAUUUCUGGAGGAUCAUAUGACACUAAAGACUGAAGUAAUGAUGCUGAAAAAUCAGCUUUGAUCAUAGCAAUCAAUUGACCCUUCGCAAAACAACCCACCUUCCUUAAAUACUGUUGCUAUGUCUGACAAGCCAUGCUGCUCUCACAGUACACACCUUGUUCUCACACAGCAAAAAAUACAUCGUGGACCAAAGAGGAAACUGACAACACAGAGACAGAAGAAGACAGAGAAGGUCACUUCUGGUAUGAAACAAUCCUCAUCUUCUGUGUCUGAAUUGAACAGCUGGGCAACAGCUUUUGAACAGCUUUCGUCAUCAAACAUGCCGGGUUCCCUCUCAUCAUGGUUGUUCGCUGCCAGCGUACGUAGUGUACUUAUUACGUUCCUGUGUCAGCGGGAAAUGGUCCGAC